rnacentral:rRNA from 1 species
CAGUAGCCGCGGGAAUACGAAGGGUGCAAGCGUUAAUCGGAAUUACUGGGCGUAAAGCGCGCGUAGGUGGUUCAUUAAGUUGGAUGUGAAAGCCCUGGGCUCAACCUGGGAACUGCAUCCAAAACUGGUGAGCUAGAGUACGGUAGGGGGUAGUGGAAUUUCCUGUGUAGCGGUGAAAUGCGUAGAUAUAGGAAGGAACACCAGUGGCGAAGGCGACUACCUGGACUGAUACUGACACUGAGGUGCGAAAGCGUGGGGAGCAAACAGGAUUAGAUACCCCAGUAGUCCCUGUCUCUUAUAC